AUGAUGCAAAGCCCGAGCAAAUUGUCUGGCCCCUUUGUCUCUACUCCCUCUGGUGUGUCGGGGCUCCAAGGUUGGACUGACCUUCCAGUUGACCUGUUGCAUUCCAUCAUUCCUCUGUUGGGAUCCUAUGUCGAUCUAUCUGUGUUUGUUAGCACAUGUCGUUCUUGGCGUGUUGCUUUCUUGUCAUACCCAUCCAAAUCAACCUUAUGCACGGUACUCCUGCCUCUCCUUGUCCAACCCAAUGUCCUUGACCUAUCUCCCCAUCUCCCUUCUAGCAAUGGUCGCCAUGAGCUACGCAAUUGUAAGCUCAUCGAUCUAGCCAAGCAGAACAUAUCCCUUUGCUGCCAGAUUCCUCGAAAGACUUUUGAGAACAUGUGGUUUGUUGGCUCUUCCUAUGGGCAUCUCAUCUGCUGCCUCAAAGGGAAUUUUUUUAUCGUUGAUGUGUUGACUGGUGCCGAAUUUUCACCUCCAUCUCUUCCGUUGAGUUGCGACUUUGACUUCUACUACUAUGGCACUCUGACAGCGCGCCCUGCAUCACCAAACUGCCAUCUACUUGUCAGCACCCAUCACUCCCUGUUUGAUUGGCCCAUUGGAAGUGACUCUUGGUCUCAACUCAUGCUUCCGUAUUCACGCAUAGAUCAGAUUGUGGAAUUCAACGGUCAGUUCAUCGCACUGGAUUGCCAUUGGAGGAUCUACAUUCUGAAGUUGGCCCCCCAGCUUGGCCUGGAGCAGAUAACAACCCGCAGGUUUUUGGACGACAUGGCCAAAUGCCCACAAAACCGAUGGCUAGUAGUAUGUGAUGACAUGCUUCUCAUCAUUUGCUAUUAUGAGAGCUUGUUGUCAUCUAAAGCACCAGUCCAAUAUAAACCAUACCGUCUUGAUAUGUCGACCAGACCUGCAAAAUGGGUGGAGGUGAAGAAGCUGGACAACUGGGCACUCUUUGUAGGGCGUGAUUUCAGGAGCCCGUCGUUUUCUUGCUCGAGCCCGGAACAAUGGGGAGGGUGGAGUAACCGGCUGUAUUACGCCCAUAACUUUCAGCCUUUGACCGUACAUGGGUUGGGUGACGAGGCAGAGGCUGCGUGGGAACCUUCCACUGACCCCAAUCUUUUCUAUGGGAGAAACAGGUACAAGAAGGUGCAGGCCUUCUGGGUGUACCCAAGCAUGUUCAGUUCCGAUGGCUAG
rnacentral:rRNA from 1 species